GGUUGUGGCUCAGCGGUAAAGUAUUCACCUAGUACAGUGCAAGGCCCUGGUUCGAUCCUCAGCAUCA
rnacentral:tRNA from 1 species